GGACCAUCAUAGCUCAGGGACAGAGCACCUGCUUUGCAUGCGGAUGGUUCCAGGUUCAAUUCCCAGCAUCUCCA